GACAGAGGCCCCAAGCGUUAGGCGGAAUCACUGGGCUUAAAGCGUGUGUAGGCGGAUCGUUAAGUGUCCUGUGAAAUCCCACGGCUCACCCGUGGAACUGCUGGGCAUACUGGCGAUCUUGGGCCAACUAGGGGCAGCCGGAACAAGCGGUGGAGCGGUGAAAUGCGUAGAUAUCGCUUGGAACGCCGAAGGUGAAAACAGGCUGCUGGGGUUGUGCCGACGCUGAGACACGAAAGCCAGGGGAGCAAACGGG
rnacentral:rRNA from 1 species